rnacentral:rRNA from 1 species
GAUGAACGCUGGCGGCGUGCCUAACACAUGCAAGUCGAGCGAACGGACGAGAAUCUUGCUUUUCUGAUGUUAGCGGCGGACGGGUGAGUAACACGUGGAUAACCUACCUAUAAGACUGGGAUAACUUCGGGAAACCGGAGCUAGUACCGGAUAAUAUUUUGAACCGCAUGGUUCAAAAGUGAAAGACGCUCUUGCUGUCACUUAUGGAUGGAUCCGCGCUGCAUUAGCUAGUUGGUAAGGUAACGGCUUACCAAGGCAACGAGGCAUAGCCGACCUGAGAGAGGAACAGGCGACACUGGAAGUGAGACAUGGGCCAGACUGCGACGGGAGGCAGGCGUAGGGAAUUUUCCGAGACGGGAGAAAGCAUGACGGCGCAACGCGGGGUGAGUGAUGAAGGUCUUCGGAUGGUAAAAUUGUGUUCUUAGGGAAGAACAUCUGUGUAAGUCAGUGAGGAAGUCUUGACGGUACCUAAUCAGAAAGCCACGGCUAACUACGUG